rnacentral:siRNA from 1 species
ACCCAUCCGCUAGACGGUUAGCCU